rnacentral:lncRNA from 1 species
AACGGCACGACUAGGAUUGAAGGGGGCUAAUGAAAAGUUACUCGUCAAAAGAAUAUUACGAGCAUCUAUAGCUUGUGCCUCUACCUUAUUAAUGGUGUGAAAGUGGUCUAUCAAAUUUUUUGAAUAACAAGGGGGAACAGGCCAAGUUUGGCCAAAACCAAGUUGGCGAGCAAAAAAUUGGGGAGCAUAUAUUUCAACC